rnacentral:tRNA from 2 species
UGUAGUUCAACUGAUACCCGCCUGAAUGACGACAGUGGGGCAGGGAAUAGAAGUUUCCUAAACUUAGAUAUGAGUUCGAUUCUCGUCGGUGACCA